rnacentral:misc_RNA from 1 species
AAACGAAAAACAAACAGAUACGAUUCAUAUUCAAUUGAUAUGUACAGUGACGUUGAUGAUUUUAGCAGUGGUUCGGGUUCUUGGGUCGGCGAGAGAUCCUAUUGGGCUAAUGAAGUGCAGUCUAAUUCGAAGAGAUCGAAGAAUCGGAGCAUGGAGAGGUCUCGGCCACCAGUAUCGAGAUCUUCAAGGGGGCGAGUCCAGAUACUUCCAUCGAGGUUUAAUGACUCGAUUGUUAACAUGCGGAAGAAUGGGCAACGCAGACCUGACGACACUGAAUCGAGCUCUGAGGAGGAUGAAUUUUUAGGAGACAGAGAGAAUUUUGAUCUUAAGAGAUGUAAAUAUAGUAAAAGGGAAUUUGUAAAGGAUAAAGUUGGAUUUAGGAAUUAUAAUUCCUAUCCAUUUUGUGGACCGGAAGGAAAUGGAGAAGUGGGCUGUGCAGGGUUCAAGAGUUUUGAGUAUAAAAGCGGUAAUGCUAAUAAUUUGAGGUCUCAUAGUUCAUUGAU